rnacentral:tRNA from 1 species
GGCGACGUUGCCAAGUGGUCCAAGGCCGCGGUUUGCAAAACCGCUAUUCGUGGGUUCGAAUCCCACCGUCGCCU